rnacentral:rRNA from 1 species
UACGUAGGUCCCGAGCGUUGUCCGGAUUUAUUGGGCGUAAAGCGAGCGCAGGUGGUUUAUUAAGUCUGGUGUAAAAGGCAGUGGCUCAACCAUUGUAUGCAUUGGAAACUGGUAGACUUGAGUGCAGGAGAGGAGAGUGAAAUUCCAUGUGUAGCGGUGAAAUGCGUAGAUAUAUGGAGGAACACCGGUGGCGAAAGCGGCUCUCUGGCCUGUAACUGACACUGAGGCUCGAAAGCGUGGGUAGCAAACAGG